rnacentral:rRNA from 1 species
UACGGGGGGGGCAAGCGUUGUUCGGAAUUACUGGGCGUAAAGGGCUCGUAGGCGGCCAACUAAGUCGGACGUGAAAUCCCCAGGCUCAACCUGGGAACUGCGUCCGAUACUGGAUGGCUUGAAUUCGGGAGAGGGAUGCAGAAUUCCAGGUGUAGCGGUGAAAUGCGUAGAUAUCUGGAGGAACACCGAUGGCGAAGGCAGCUUCCUGGUCCAAUUCUGACGCUGAGGUGCGAAAGCGUGGGUAGCGAACGGG